UAAAAGUCGUAACAAGGUUUCCGUAGGUGAACCUGCGGAAGGAUCAUUAAUGAAAUUUAUGACUGGAGUUGUAGCUGGCCCUUUAAAAACGGGCACGUGCACGCUCCCUUCACUAAUCCACACACACCUGUGCACCUUCGCGGGGGUCUUCUUUUCGGAGAAGGCUCGCGUCCCUUUACACACCCUUUGUAUGUCUUAAGAAUGUCUACUCGAUGUAAUAAAACGCAUCUAAUACAACUUUCAACAACGGAUCUCUUGGCUCUCGCAUCGAUGAAGAACGCAGCGAAAUGCGAUAAGUAAUGUGAAUUGCAGAAUUCAGUGAAUCAUCGAAUCUUUGAACGCACCUUGCGCCCUUUGGUAUUCCGAAGGGCACACCUGUUUGAGUGUCGUGAAAUUCUCAACCCUCUUCAUUUUUUAUGAAUGAAGCAGUGGCUUGGACUUGGAGGUUUUUUGCCGGGCCUCACCGCUCGGCUCCUCUCAAAUGCAUUAGUGCGUCUCGUUGCGACGUGCGCCUCGGUGUGAUAAUUAUCUACGCUGUGGUGCGCUUGCUUCUGUGGAGACGCGCUUUCUAACCGUCCGAAAGGACAGCUUUCAUCGAACUUUGACCUCAAAUCAGGUGGGACUACCCGCUGAACUUAAGCAUAUCAAUAAGCGGAGGA
rnacentral:rRNA from 1 species